GACGAACGCUGGCGGCGUGCCUAAUACAUGCAAGUAGAACGCUGAAGGAGGAGCUUGCUUCUCCGGAUGAGUUGCGAACGGGUGAGUAACGCGUAGGUAACCUGCCUGGUAGCGGGGGAUAACUAUUGGAAACGAUAGCUAAUACUGCAUAAGAGUAGAUGUCGCAUGACAUUUGCUUAAAAGGUGCAACUGCACCACUACCAGAUGGACCUGCGUUGUAUUAGCUAGUUGGUGAGGUAACGGCUCACCAAGGCAACGAUACAUAGCCGACCUGAGAGGGUGAUCGGCCACACUGGGACUGAGACACGGCCCAGACUCCUACGGGAGGCAGCAGUAGGGAAUCUUCGGCAAUGGACGGAAGUCUGACCGAGCAACGCCGCGUGAGUGAAGAAGGUUUUCGGAUCGUAAAGCUCUGUUGUAAGAGAAGAACCAGUGUGAGAGUGGAAAGCUCACACUGUGACGGUAUCUUACCAGAAAGGGACGGCUAACUACGUG
rnacentral:rRNA from 1 species